UACAGAGGGUGCGAGCGUUAAUCGGAAUUACUGGGCGUAAAGCGCGCGUAGGCGGCUUUGCAAGUCGGGUGUGAAAUCUCCAGGCUUAACCUGGGAACUGCAUUCGAGACUGCAUUGCUAGAGUAUGGGAGAGGGAAGUGGAAUUUCCGGUGUAGCGGUGAAAUGCGUAGAUAUCGGAAGGAACAUCAGUGGCGAAAGCGACUUCCUGGACCAAUACUGACGCUCAUGUGCGAAAGCGUGGGGAGCAAACAGG
rnacentral:rRNA from 1 species